rnacentral:pre_miRNA from 1 species
AGCUUUUCGAAUCCGUGCAGAGAUUUCGUCAGACACUAACCUAUUAGGCUUGAUCAGACUUCCAACAUAAGUGAAGUU